AUUCCUAAAUCUUGAAACCCGCCUCUCACCGCCGAAGUCCCUCGCCACGGCCUCUCGUCUCUCCCAGUGUAUCUACUUCCAGUUCAAUUCAGUUGUCGGUCGCCGAUGUUUUAGGGCACAAGGUAUUCGAGUGGGAUUAAAGUGAUCUGACUAGCUUUCAAAUAGGGUUUCGCUUUAUCCUGGCUGCGACGAUGAGACGGCUUGUCUCCUGUUUUGUUCGCUCCUCAAUUUCCCUGAAUUUCUCGACAACUUCACCGGAGCGGUCUGAAUUCGUGGUUCGUCUGCUGAAUUCUCAUCUCAUUGCCUACGGAACUGGCGAAAUUUGUUAUCCGGAUACGUUUCGGAGGUAUUUGUUCUGUUCUCCGACUUUUUCCAUAGACGGAGCAAUUGAUUCUUGCGUUAAUAAUGUUGGGGAUAGAUGUUUAGAAGAUGUAGCUGCGAAUUCCAAGGAAUUUGGUUUGACAACGAGGGUAACAGAAGGUAGGACAUUGGGCGGUCUCGAGGAAACUGAAAUAAGUAGAAAUGGUUGUGAUCAUAUGGUUGAAAUCGUAUGCGAAACUAUUAUGGCUAAUUUGAAUGCGUAUGAUGAUAUGGAAAAAGCCCUAGAUGAUAUCAGGGUUGAGUUGACAACCCCAUUGGUACUCCAGAUCUUGCAGAGGUUUCAUUACGAGGAAAAAGUGGCUUUUCGAUUCUUCACCUGGGCAGGACACCAAGAGAAUUACUCCCAUGAGCCUUGUGCAUACAAUGAGAUGAUUGAUAUACUAUCCAGCACCAAGUACAAGAACAAACAGUUUAGGAUUGUAAUUGAAAUGCUUGAUUACAUGAAGAGGAACAAGAAAACUGCUGUUCCUGCUGACGUUUUACAGGAGAUUCUUAGAAAGUACUGCGAGAAGUAUCUGACCCAUGUUCAGAAAUUUUCUGCCAAGAAACGGAUAAGAGUCAAGACACAGCCUGAGAUAAACUCUUUUAACGUGCUUCUUGAUGCUCUGUGCAAGUCUGGUCUGGUGAAGGAUGCCGAGGCAUUGUUUAAAAGGAUGAAAAGGCAAAUUAAACCCGAUGCAAAUACAUACAAUGUUUUGUUUUUCGGUUGGUGUAGAGUUAGAGAUCCUAAAAAGGGGAUGGCAUUACUCGAAGAAAUGAUCCAAGCAGGUUGUAAGCCAGAUAAUUUUACAUACAAUGCUGCCAUAGAUGCUUUUUGUAAAGUUGGAAAGGUGAAUGAAGCUGUUGAAUUGUUUGACUUCAUGAUAACCAAAGGCUCGACGGUGUCUGCACCUACAGCAAAGACCUUUGCCGUAAUGAUUGCGGCAUUAGCGAGGUACGAUAGAAUGGAAGAAUGCUUUGAACUUAUAGGUCGUAUGAUAAGCAUAGGUUGCCUUCCCGAUGUGUCAACAUACAAGGAAGUGAUUGAAGGUAUAUGUAUGUCUGGAAAGACAGAGGAAGCCUACAAGUUCUUGCAUGAGAUGAGAAACAAAGGCUACCCACCAGACAUAGUCACUUACAAUUGCUUUCUUAGAGUCCUCUGUGAGAAUAAGAAAAGCGAUGACGCCCUUAAGCUUUAUGGAACAAUGAUCGAGGUGGGUUGCAUCCCUAGUGUCCAAACUUACAACAUGCUGAUUUCUAUGUUUUUUGAAAUGGAUGAUCCCGACAGGGCAUUCGAUACAUGGCAUGAAAUGGACAAGAGAAAUUGCCGUCAGGACACCGAAACAUUCUGUGUUAUGAUCAAUGGGCUUUUCGGGUGCAACAGAGCUGACGAGGCGUGCUUUCUAUUGGAAGAAGUUGUGAACAGGAGACUAAACCUGCCAUAUCGGAUGUUUGACUCUUUCCUAACGAGACUCUCGGCGGCUGGCAACCUCAGGGCUAUUCACAGGCUUUCUGAACACAUGAGAAAUUUCUACAAUCCUGGUAUGGCUCGUCGAUUUGCUCUCAACGAGAAGAGACAGAGUGUUAAACUUAGAGGGAAGUGAUAAGGCUUGAAAAGCCGUUGCAUUGUGUUUUUUCACGAGGUAACAAGUUGGAUGGAAUCAUCCUCAAAGCUUAAGCUCUCUUCACCUUGUCCUUGCCCACCGACAUAAUCUUUGGUCGUAAAAGAGGCGGGAGGUUCUUUGAGGAAAUUGGCUGCGGUCACAGGUGAAUAAAUCAUCAGGUUCUCUCCUGUGUUGGGUGAAUCUUAAUUUUUGAAGCAGAAGGAAAUGAAGGGAGUCAUGGUUAUGCGGUAAAAUCUUUUAAGCUUAUUAUUACCCGUUUCGGUAAUAAUCUUCUGGUUAGAGUUUGGAAAAUUAGAACCGGUUUGGGAGACGUGCCAUUAUAGAUUGUAUAGAUAAUAAAAAAUACUCGGAAUAUUUUGAUUGUUUGGACUUUGGAUCCAUUGUUUUCCACAAUAAUAAAAAAUGAAGAAAAAAACCCUUUUUAACA